rnacentral:rRNA from 1 species
GGGUUGUGAGGUUAAGCGACUAAGCGUACACGGUGGAUGCCCUGGCAGUCAGAGGCGAUGAAGGGCGUGCUAAUCUGCGAUAAGCGCCGGUAAGGUGAUAUGAACCGUUAUAACCGGCGAUACCCGAAUGGGGAAACCCAGUGUGAUUCGUCACACUAUCAUUAACUGAAUCCAUAGGUUAAUGAGGCGAACCGGGGGAACUGAAACAUCUAAGUACCCCGAGGAAAAGAAAUCAACCGAGAUUCCCCCAGUAGCGGCGAGCGAACGGGGAGGAGCCCAGAGCCUGAAUCAGCAUGUGUGUUAGUGGAAGCGUCUGGAAAGGCGCGCGAUACAGGGUGACAGCCCCGUACACAAAAGCGCAUGUGCUGUGAGCUCGAUGAGUAGGGCGGGACACGUGGUAUCCUGUCUGAAUAUGGGGGGACCAUCCUCCAAGGCUAAAUACUCCUGACUGACCGAUAGUGAACCAGUACCGUGAGGGAAAGGCGAAAAGAACCCCGGCGAGGGGAGUGAAAAAGAACCUGAAACCGUGUACGUACAAGCAGUGGGAGCACAGGUUUACCUGUGUGACUGCGUACCUUUUGUAUAAUGGGUCAGCGACUUAUAUUCUGUAGCAAGGUUAACCGUAUAGGGGAGCCGUAGGGAAACCGAGUCUUAAUUGGGCGUUAAGUUGCAGGGUAUAGACCCGAAACCCGGUGAUCUAGCCAUGGGCAGGUUGAAGGUUGGGUAACACUAACUGGAGGACCGAACCGACUAAUGUUGAAAAAUUAGCGGAUGACCUGUGGCUGGGGGUGAAAGGCCAAUCAAACCGGGAGAUAGCUGGUUCUCCCCGAAAGCUAUUUAGGUAGCGCCUCGUGAAUUCAUCUCCGGGGGUAGAGCACUGUUUCGGCUAGGGGGCCAUCCCGGCUUACCAACCCGAUGCAAACUGCGAAUACCGGAGAAUGUUAUCACGGGAGACACACGGCGGGUGCUAACGUCCGUCGUGAAGAGGGAAACAACCCAGACCGCCAGCUAAGGUCCCAAAGUCAUGGUUAAGUGGGAAACGAUGUGGGAAGGCCCAGACAGCCAGGAUGUUGGCUUAGAAGCAGCCAUCAUUUAAAGAAAGCGUAAUAGCUCACUGGUCGAGUCGGCCUGCGCGGAAGAUGUAACGGGGCUAAACCAUGCACCGAAGCUGCGGCAGCGACACUGUGUGUUGUUGGGUAGGGGAGCGUUCUGUAAGCCUGUGAAGGUGGCCUGUGAGGGUUGCUGGAGGUAUCAGAAGUGCGAAUGCUGACAUAAGUAACGAUAAAGCGGGUGAAAAGCCCGCUCGCCGGAAGACCAAGGGUUCCUGUCCAACGUUAAUCGGGGCAGGGUGAGUCGACCCCUAAGGCGAGGCCGAAAGGCGUAGUCGAUGGGAAACGGGUUAAUAUUCCCGUACUUGGUGUUACUGCGAAGGGGGGACGGAGAAGGCUAUGUUGGCCGGGCGACGGUUGUCCCGGUUUAAGCGUGUAGGUGUGUGUUCCAGGUAAAUCCGGUUCACUUUAACACUGAGGCGUGACGACGAGGCACUACGGUGCUGAAGCAACAAAUGCCCUGCUUCCAGGAAAAGCCUCUAAGCAUCAGGUAACAUCAAAUCGUACCCCAAACCGACACAGGUGGUCAGGUAGAGAAUACCAAGGCGCUUGAGAGAACUCGGGUGAAGGAACUAGGCAAAAUGGUGCCGUAACUUCGGGAGAAGGCACGCUGACACGUAGGUGAAGUGAUUUACUCAUGGAGCUGAAGUCAGUCGAAGAUACCAGCUGGCUGCAACUGUUUAUUAAAAACACAGCACUGUGCAAACACGAAAGUGGACGUAUACGGUGUGACGCCUGCCCGGUGCCGGAAGGUUAAUUGAUGGGGUCAGCGCAAGCGAAGCUCCUGAUCGAAGCCCCGGUAAACGGCGGCCGUAACUAUAACGGUCCUAAGGUAGCGAAAUUCCUUGUCGGGUAAGUUCCGACCUGCACGAAUGGCGUAAUGAUGGCCAGGCUGUCUCCACCCGAGACUCAGUGAAAUUGAACUCGCUGUGAAGAUGCAGUGUACCCGCGGCAAGACGGAAAGACCCCGUGAACCUUUACUAUAGCUUGACACUGAACAUUGAGCCUUGAUGUGUAGGAUAGGUGGGAGGCUUUGAAGUGUGGACGCCAGUCUGCAUGGAGCCGACCUUGAAAUACCACCCUUUAAUGUUUGAUGUUCUAACGUGGACCCGUAAUCCGGGUUGCGGACAGUGUCUGGUGGGUAGUUUGACUGGGGCGGUCUCCUCCUAAAGAGUAACGGAGGAGCACGAAGGUUGGCUAAUCCUGGUCGGACAUCAGGAGGUUAGUGCAAUGGCAUAAGCCAGCUUGACUGCGAGCGUGACGGCGCGAGCAGGUGCGAAAGCAGGUCAUAGUGAUCCGGUGGUUCUGAAUGGAAGGGCCAUCGCUCAACGGAUAAAAGGUACUCCGGGGAUAACAGGCUGAUACCGCCCAAGAGUUCAUAUCGACGGCGGUGUUUGGCACCUCGAUGUCGGCUCAUCACAUCCUGGGGCUGAAGUAGGUCCCAAGGGUAUGGCUGUUCGCCAUUUAAAGUGGUACGCGAGCUGGGUUUAGAACGUCGUGAGACAGUUCGGUCCCUAUCUGCCGUGGGCGCUGGAGAACUGAGGGGGGCUGCUCCUAGUACGAGAGGACCGGAGUGGACGCAUCACUGGUGUUCGGGUUGUCAUGCCAAUGGCACUGCCCGGUAGCUAAAUGCGGAAGAGAUAAGUGCUGAAAGCAUCUAAGCACGAAACUUGCCCCGAGAUGAGUUCUCCCUGAGACUUAGAGUCUCCUGAAGGAACGUUGAAGACGACGACGUUGAUAGGCCGGGUGUGUAAGCGCAGCGAUGCGUUGAGCUAACCGGUACUAAUGAACCGUGAGGCUUAACCUUACAACGCCGAAG